UACGUAGGGGGCUAGCGUUGUCCGGAAUCAUUGGGCGUAAAGCGCGUGUAGGCGGCCCGGUAAGUCCGCUGUGAAAGUCGGGGGGCUCAACCCUCGAAUGCCGGUGGAUACUGUCGGGCUAGAGUGCGGAAGAGGCGAGUGGAAUUCCUGGUGUAGCGGUGAAAUGCGCAGAUAUCAGGAGGAACACCAAUUGCGAAGGCAGCUCGCUGGGACGUAACUGACGCUGAGACGCGAAAGCGUGGGGAGCAAACAGG
rnacentral:rRNA from 1 species